rnacentral:rRNA from 1 species
AACGCGAAGAACCUUACCAAGGUUUGACAUGGACCGAAAACUCAUGGAGACAUGGGGUCCUUCGGGGCGGUUCACAGGUGGUGCAUGGCUGUCGUCAGCUCGUGUCGUGAGAUGUUGGGUUAAGUCCCGCAACGAGCGCAACCCUCGUCCCAUGUUGCCAGCGGGUUAUGCCGGGGACUCAUGGGAGACUGCCGGGGUCAACUCGGAGGAAGGUGGGGAUGACGUCAAGUCAUCAUGCCCCUUAUGUCUUGGGCUGCAAACAUGCUACAAUGGCCGGUACAGAGGGCUGCGAGCCUGUAAGGGUGAGCGAAUCCCGGAAAGCCGGUCUCAGUUCGGAUCGGGGUCUGCAACUCGGCCCCGUGAAGCCGGAGUCGCUAGUAAUCGCGGAUCAGCAACGCCGCGGUGAAUACGUUCCCGGGCCUUGUA